UACGUAGGGUGCGAGCGUUGUCCGGAAUUAUUGGGCGUAAAGAGCUCGUAGGCGGUUUGUCGCGUCUGCCGUGAAAGUCCGGGGCUCAACUCCGGAUCUGCGGUGGGUACGGGCAGACUAGAGUGAUGUAGGGGAGACUGGAAUUCCUGGUGUAGCGGUGAAAUGCGCAGAUAUCAGGAGGAACACCGGUGGCGAAGGCGGUUCUCUGGGCAUGAUCUGACGCUGAGGAGCGAAAGUGUGGGGAGCGAACAGG
rnacentral:rRNA from 1 species